rnacentral:rRNA from 1 species
GUGGGGAAUAUUGGACAAUGGGCGCAAGCCUGAUCCAGCCAUGCCGCGUGAGUGAUGAAGGCCUUAGGGUUGUAAAGCUCUUUCAGCUGGGAAGAUAAUGACGGUACCAGCAGAAGAAGCCCCGGCUAACUUCGUGCCAGCAGCCGCGGUAAUACGAAGGGGGCUAGCGUUGUUCGGAAUCACUGGGCGUAAAGCGCACGUAGGCGGAUCGAUAAGUCAGGGGUGAAAUCCCGAGGCUCAACCUCGGAACUGCCUUUGAUACUGUCGACCUUGAGUCCGGGAGAGGUGAGUGGAACUCCGAGUGUAGAGGUGAAAUUCGUAGAUAUUCGGAAGAACACCAGUGGCGAAGGCGGCUCACUGGCCCGGUACUGACGCUGAGGUGCGAAAGCGUGGGGAGCAAACAGGAUUAGAAACCCCGGUAGUCC